AUGAUACUCCCUCCGUCCGGAAAUACUUGUCAUUGAAAUGGAUGUAUCUAGAUGUAUUUUAGUUCUAGAUACAUCCAUUUUCAUCCAUUUUGAUGACAAGUAUUUCCAGACGGAGGGAGUACUAC
rnacentral:pre_miRNA from 1 species